rnacentral:lncRNA from 1 species
GAGUGGGAAGGGUAUUUGUCGUGUGCCUUCUCAGGGAGAAAUCUGUUUCCUCCUGCAGCACCAUCAUCGCCUCGUGGCAGUUCCUGGUCUGAACUGGCAGGUUUUCUCUUGAUUCUGGACCUCUGGAGAAGGAAAUGACUGUGGAAACAAGCAUGAGCAAAGGCCCUGAACUCUGAAUAUGUAUUAUCCAAUGGUACCCACCUUCCCUUGCAGUCCAGGAACAAAUGUGUGACCUUGGUUUGACAGCUGCUGUUUGUUUUCCAGUCAACCAAAGCUUGCAGUAAGGAUUUCUCAGGACAAUUUGAAAAUUAGAUUAAAAGUGGAAGACCAAUGGUAUCUUUUUACCUUGGAAUCCAUUGUCUGUAGCUUUUCUUUCUUGAAUUCCUGGAAUCACUGCAGAAUUCCUCUUCGGAUUUUUCUCCCUGAAAUUAGACUGUAAUGAUAUGCUUCAGACCUCACAGGAGCCUAAAGGAAAUCUGACAUUUGUGCUGCCAUUGUCUGCUGAGGCUUUCAAGUCACUCCCAGAGAUGUGAUCUUUAAGGGCAACUCUGCAUUAGACCUUGUCUCAUGAUGUGGCAUCACUCCUACAGGUAGCAGGUAUUCUCCUGGCGGCUUGUCUUAAGCUUAAAGUGGAAUAGCAUAACUGAUAAGGACUAAAGAUGUCUGCAAUAUGUUAUUAGAGCUCUGUGAAGAAACUUAUUCAGCAUUUGUUUGUCUCCAGCUCUGCCCAG